rnacentral:rRNA from 1 species
GACGAACCGUGCGAACGUUGUUCGGAAUCACUGGGCUUAAAGGGCGCGUAGGCGGCCCGCCGCGUCCGGGGUGAAAUCCCACGGCUCAACCGUGGAACGGCCCCGGGUACGGGCGGGCUGGAGGGGGAUAGGGGCGUGCGGAACUGUGCGUGGAGCGGUGAAAUGCGUUGAUAUGCACAGGAACUCCGGUGGCGAAGGCGGCACGCUGGGUCCUUUCUGACGCUGAGGCGCGAAAGCCAGGGGAGCGAACGGG